GUCCAUUGCUCCAGCUUACAUUGAGGGCACUUGUCACACAUAGCAACUGUAAUUGUUUGAUUUGUUUCAUAACGCAAUAAACAGUCAUAAUGGAGCAUGGCUGUCACCCGGUGGCCUUUGUUGUGUGAUGCCUAAUCAAUGUCACUCCUAUAUACAGUUAUUUUAAACCAAUUUAUGCUUUAAUAACAUAGCUCUAAUUAUUUAGUAAUAUAAUUUUUACAAUAACCUUACUAUCAAAAACGCCUACAUGUUAAAAAGAAAAGGCAAAAAAAAAAAAAAAAACAGCAAACAAUUUACAAUUUUAUUGAGCAUGACAAUAAUAAACAUUAAAAAUUGUAUUAAAUCUAACUAACUUCAUGGCAAUGAAGAUCAAAUCCAGAAUUAUCAGCCUGCACACUGAUGAAGAAAGUAAUGUCAUAUGUUAUUUAUUUACUUUUCCUGCUGUUUUAGGUUUUUGCCAUAGUAUCGUUUAAGUAUUGGUAUCGUGACAUCGCAGACAUUUCUGUCCUUGCUGGUCUUAAACAAUGAAGACCAUAUAAACCAAGGGCUGUCUAAAUAAAAAUUACAUUUUGAUAUAUAUAUCAAAAUGUAAUUUUUCUAUACUGCAUUUCUUUUAUUGCGUUGUUUCACAUGUUUUGUGUAUUGUUAUGGUUAACGUUAGUUCAUGAAAAUACAGUUCAUUCUUUGUUCAUGUUAGUUUACAGUACUACCUAAUGUUAACACUGUUUUAAUAAUGUAUUACUAUGUUGAAAUUAACAUUAACAAAUAUUAAUAAAUACUGUGUAAGUGCAGUUCAUUAUUAGUUCAUGAUAACUAAUGUAGUUAACUAAUUAACCUUAUUGUAAAGUGUUAUAAAAAAUGCUAUACAAGGUGGUUUUGAACACUGAACCUCUUGCGUGCCAAACAAAAUUAGUAACCCCCAGCCCACUUGGGCACACGCAGAAUAUUGGUGGAUUUAUGUAUUAAUUAUUUAUUACCAGAGCUUCUCAGUGAUUUUAGUCCUGUCCAAAUGUGCCAUCUCAGUAAUCAUUAUGGGCAAUGUCAAUAAAGAUUACGACGGCUUUUACCUUCUGUAAAAAGGUCCGGAAAAAUUACCUCAGGUAAUACUAAUCCUGUUCGAAUAGACCCGCUGUAAAUAUGUACGAUAAAAUUAAUUCCUUUGUCCGAAUAGGGCUAUAGUCAGCUAUAUGGGAUAAUGCGGUUGUUGAAUGAACCUGGUUCAGUGGAAUUCUUAUUCAGGCAGCUUGUAAUUCAUCAACCAAUCAUCAACUGACAUGUUGCUGACCUCAGGAGACAUCAUGUAUUCUUCAAAUUCGCUAGUCAAAAGACAGAGCCCAUCUUCUUUCUCAGAGAUUCCAAUUACCUCUAUUUCCUCCUUGGUCUGCCUUUGUUCAAUAAUCUGGAUUAAAGGACAAUGUUUAAAGGAGGUUAAAGUCUGGCUGUCAGCAAAUUUUUUAAACUUCAAUGAGAGAAAAACGGAGCUUGUUUGGUUCGGUGGUCCUGCUCUUCCUGAACUGUCAAAUUUAGGUGAGCUGACCCCUUUUUGUAAACCUGUGGUUAAAAAUUUAGGGGUACUAUUUGACAGUUCUCUAAAAUUCGAUAAACAGAUAAAUUCAGUCGUUAAAACAAGUUUUUUUCAUUUACGUCUUUUGGCGAAGGUUAAACCUUUUCUUUCUUUUAAUGACUGUGAGAAGGUGAUUCAUGCUUUUGUGUUCACACGACUUGACUAUUGCAACUCUUUGUAUGUAGGUGUUUGUCAAAAGGCAUUGAACCGGUUGCAAUUAGUCCAAAAUGCUGCUGCUAGGCUCUUGACGAGGACACGCAAAUGGGACCAUAUUUCUCCUAUUUUAUCCUCUUUGGGUUGGUUGCCUGUCCAGUACAGGACUGAUUUUAAGCUCCUGAUUUUUGUUUAUAAGUGCCUGAAUGGAUUAGCUCCCUCAUACUUGUCAGAGAUUUUACAGGUGCAUAAGCCUUCCAGGUCUUUAAGAUCUUCUGACCAGUCUGUUUUAAUUAUUCAGAGGACAAGAUACAAUCGGAGGGGUGAUCGGGCCUUCGCAGUGGCAGCACCAAAGUGAUGGAAUAGUUUACCGUCUCAUAUUAGAGUAUCCUCUACUCUAAGCAUUUUUAAAAGACGUUUGAAGGCUCAUCUUUUUAGUUUAGCUUUUGAGCCUGCAGUGUGUUGAGGCAUUGGCUUUUGUGUGUGUGUACUGUUUUAGAGGUUUAUGUUUUAUUUUAUGUAGAAUUUUUGCAUUGUACAGCACUUUGGUCAACGCUCUGUUGUUUUAAUAGUGCUUUGUAAAUCAAUAAAUCAAAUCAAAUCAAUAAAUCAAAUCAAAUCAAAUAAUAAACAAUUUAGAGUUAAAAUAACAUCCCUCAACAGUCAGUUGUGCUGAUAUUUUGUUUGGAUCCUGUGAUACUUUUUUUUUUUUCAGGAUUCAUUGAUGAAUAAAAAAAAUAAAAGCAUUUAUAACAAUUUAAGUGUUUACUUUUUAUAACUUUAGCACAUCUUUACUGAAUUAGAAUGACCGAGCUUUAACUAUAUCAAAUGUGAAAACUUGGAACUUGUUCAAACAGUAUUUGUAAGGUGGUUGAAUGUCUAAGAAGUGACAACAGUGUUGAUCUGUGGAUGGUUACUUGUACUUUGAUCAUAGUGUAGGCUGGUGAGUUCAGUUUGUUGAUGCCACUUGAAGAUGAAGGUCUUAGGUGCGUCAUUAUGACUUCGUCGUCUAUGCUGACGGGUACGAGGGCUUUGUCUCACCACAGUGUGACAUUCAGUUCUGUGGACCCACAUUAUGUAACGUGUGGAGACUUGAAUUUCUCACACUUGAGCUUAAUUUGAAUUAAUGGGUGGCUCUUAAAGAGCCGUUGCUGCCCUUAAAAAGACAUUUGAUGGCUUCAUCUUCAGAGUUCUACCUGCAGAGCUUCUCUGAGGUUACUCAGCAAAAGCUCAUUUCCCUCUGGGCUCAGGUGGACUCCGUCCCAGGUCAGAUUCGACAGGUCGAUGUUGGAAUGACGAACGCAGCGCAUCUGUCUCUCUGCCAAGAAGUCUGCAGUCGAACUGUUGAGCUACCGCCGGCUCCGUUCAAUGCCGUAUGCAGACCUAACAGUCUGCCCUCGCCAGUUCAGUCGGGGCAAAUGCAUGAAAAGUGAAGCCUGGUUCUGGGGACCAUCCUGAAGACUUCCUCCAGGUCCGUCUUCAUUUCCCGAAGGAAAUCCAGGCAGUUGCAGCCCUUCCGACAUAAACUGUUUCCACCGAGGUGAAUAAUCAAGAUGUCGGGAGCAGAAGCUUUGUCCCUGAGAGACCGCAACAGUCUGCCUCCUCUGCCCUCCCAGGUUAUACUGCAGCAAAGGCCAAGGCUCCUGUCGAGCCCCUGCUCACAGAUGUGAGCAUACAGCCUUCGAAUAAUUGAGCUACCAACAAUCCAUACACAAGGUACUCUGUCAUCCGCCAUCUCGAAGAAGAGUGAGGGUGCUGUGAUUUGGCGCCAGUAUUUAGGAUGAGACCUAAUCUGAAAUCGAAUGAGCAGCCUCCAAUAGUAGGACAUGCAUUUCAAAAUAAGAGUCCCGAUGUAUAUCAGUCUUGUUUAUAAUUAAAAGCCACACAUAUGUAUAAUUUCCCCCUGGUUAUUACUGAUAUUUUGUUACACAAUAAACCCUGUAAACAGAUGCAUAAAGGCAGGAACACACCAAGCCGAUGCCGAAAAAAGAAGGGAAAAGAGCUUGAGAAUCCUUGCUCAGCAGUCUCAGGACAGCCAUCCCAUUCACCGUCGUGCUCACAUCAGGAAGGGUCUCCAGGAUCGUGUCCUCAGUGGUCUGACCUUUCUCCUUGGGAGGGGGCUUUCUGAGGGCAGUGGGGAAGUUAGGCAUCCAGCCGCCAAAGUCAAACUGGGGGGAAAGAAGUGGAGAAAAAAAUAUGACAUCGGCAUGUUGGGCUGAUGCAGUGAAGAUCACCAUGGUGACAAACUUGACGAGCUCUGUCACAGUCUGAAGAGAUGAUGGUAUUCCUGUGAAGAAUGAAAGGCUGUUUCUGUGAGGAACUCAAUUUAGGACGUUUA